rnacentral:rRNA from 1 species
UACAGGGGGUGCAAACGUUGCUCGGAAUUAUUGGGCGUAAAGCGCGCGUAGGCGGCUACUUAAGUCGGAUGUGAAAGCCCCUGGCUCAACUGGGGAAGUGCACCCGAAACUGAGUGGCUUGAGUACAAAAGAGGGUCGCGGAAUUCCCGGUGUAGAGGUGAAAUUCGUAGAUAUCGGGAGGAACACCGGUGGCGAAGGCGGCGACCUGGGUUGAUACUGACGCUGAGGCGCGAAAGCGUGGGGAGCAAACGGG